rnacentral:tRNA from 1 species
UCCCCUGUAGCUCAGUCGGUAGAGCAAGCGGCUGUUAACCGCUGGGUCGUAGGUUCGAGUCCUACCGGGGGAG